UACGUAGGGGGCAAGCGUUGUCCGGAUUUAUUGGGCGUAAAGAGCUCGUAGGCGGCCGUUCGCGUCGGAUGUGAAAGCUCAGGGCUCAACUCUGAGAUGCCAUUCGAUACGGGACGGCUAGAGGUAGGUAGGGGAGAGUGGAAUUCCUGGUGUAGCGGUGAAAUGCGCAGAUAUCAGGAGGAACACCGGUGGCGAAGGCGGCUCUCUGGGCCUUACCUGACGCUGAGGAGCGAAAGCUGGGGGAGCGAACAGG
rnacentral:rRNA from 1 species